rnacentral:rRNA from 1 species
AAGCGAGUACACAUAAUGUCCGUACCGCAAACCGACACAGGUAGGCGAGGAGAGGAUCCUCAGGUGUUCGAGCUAACCCGGGUUAAGGAACUAGGCAAAAUGGUCCCGUAACUUAGGGAUAAGGGACGCCCGGUCUGGUGACGGUGUACAACCUGAGCCGGGCUGGGCCGCAGAGAAAUGGCCUGGGCGACUGUUUACUAAAAACACACAUCUCUGCCAAGUCGUAAGACGACGUAUAGGGACUGACACCUGCCCGGUGCUGGAGCGUUAAGGGGAGAGGUCAGAAUACGCCUAACCGUGUAUUCGAAGCUUUGAACCGAAGCCCCAGUAAACGGCGGCCGUAACUAUAACGGUCCUAAGGUAGCGAAAUUCCUUGUCGGGUAAGUUCCGACCCGCACGAAUGGUGUAACGAUUUGGGCACUGUCUCAACCCGGGGCUCGGCGAAAUUGCAGUAGCGGUGAAGAUACCGUUUUCCCGUGGAAGGACAGAAAGACCCCGUGGACCUUUACUGCAGCUUGAUAUUGGGUUCCGCCGUGGCGUGUGUAGGAUAGGCGGGAGACUUUGAAGCCUGGUCGCCAGAUCAGGUGGAGUCAACGUUGAAAUACCGUCCUCGUUUCGUUGGAACUCUAACACGGGUCCGUGAUCCGGAUCGUGGACAGUGUCUGGUGGGCAGUUUGACUGGGGUGGUCGCCUCCCAAAAAGUAACGGAGGCGCCCAAAGGUUCCCUCAGCGCGGUCGGUAAUCGCGCGUCGAGUGCAAAGGCACAAGGGAGCUUGGCUGCGAGACGGACAGGUCGAGCAGGUACGAAAGUAGGGCUUAGUGAUCCUGCGGUCCCGAGUGGAAGGGCCGUGGCUCAACGGAUAAAAGGUACCCCGGGGAUAACAGGCUGAUCGCCACCGAGAGUUCACAUCGACGUGGCGGUUUGGCACCUCGAUGUCGGCUCAAUGCAUCCUGGGGCUGAACAAGGUCCCAAGGGUUCGUCUGUUCGCCGAUUAAAGCGUUACGCGAGCUGGGUUUAGAACGUCGUGAGACAGUUCGGUCUCUAUCCUCCACGGGUGUAGGAAGCUUGAGGGGAUCUGUCUUCAGUACGAGAGGACCGAGACGGACGCACCUCUAGUGUACCAGUUGUCCCGCCAGGGGCACCGCUGGGUAGCUUCGUGCGGACCAGGAUAAGCGCUGAAAGCAUCUAAGUGCGAAACCGGCCCCAAAACUAGGCUUCCCGACCGAAAGGUCCUCAAGGCCACUCGGAGAUUACGAGUUUGAUAGGCCGCAGGUGUAAGCACAGUAAUGUGUUCAGCCGAGCGGU